CUCAGCUCUUUAUCCUUCUCACUCACCCUCUCUCUCUCUCGCUUGCACUCCCAUUUCUCGAUCGACACCCACUGUCACACUUGAGCCAUCCCAACGACGGUGCAGUACCACCAUUGCCCUCUUAUACUCCCUCUCUCACUCCCCCUCGUCUCUGCAAGCUCUAGGACACCCAGAGGCACCCAAAUCUAUAUGGUGAGCCCCGUGCAUUUCGAACAAGAUUCCGGCCACCUCGUCCAUUCUCUGUUGGAUCUCAGGAGCCUAUGAGCGAUUGAUACUUAUGAAGGAAGUUUCUGAAGGAAGAGUUCUAUAUGCCUUUGGGUGAUACUGACACCACUAGUUAGCACACUAUAUACAAGACUUAGAAUCGAGGCGUAUAAUCCUGGUGUUAAGGCACUUCUACAUCGGCAUCUUCGAGUUCUCUCAGUGUAGGUCCCACUCCUUUACUCAUUCAAUUUUAUAUUAUUUCUUUUCUAAUAUCUUGAAUUAGUUGUAUGAUUUGAACACGUUCCUCAAUUGCAUGUUAAUUCAUUAUAUUUAAAUUUAUAAGUCUUGUUUAUUUCUUGUUCUCAACAUUUGCAUUCAAUAAAUGGCUUUUGUCACCCUCUAGUGUCAGCCAGCACAUGACCAUCCCGAUGUCCGUGGGACAUCGAGAUCGAACACAGACAUCGGGAUUGGAGUGUGUCAAAAACUAGUGCACAUAUAAAGCUGAGAAAUUGCUUUCAAACUUGCCUAUGAUUUAAAGUCAACCAUCCAUAUAUUCCAAUUUUUUUACAUCAAUCUGGAAUAAAGAUAAUUCUUUACGUGUAUCAAUUGGCUUGAUAAAGGCUCA